CACUCCUAGAAUUAGAAGGGAACAGUGAAGUUUGUAGCCAGUAAGAUAAGGAUUUAGCAGCAACAGUAAUCUAAGAAGGGUCAUUCCCUGGAAACAAAUGAUCAGAUUGCUGUCACCUUCCAGGCUGUGGCUAUACAGAAUGCAUUUUCUGAACAGAUUUAUUUACAUGAUUCAAGGAUCAUUGGAUUGGAGUUUAGUUGGAG
rnacentral:misc_RNA from 1 species